rnacentral:rRNA from 1 species
GACGAACGCUGGCGGCGUGCCUAAUACAUGCAAGUUGAGCGCUGAAGGUUGGUACUUGUACCAACUGGAUGAGCAGCGAACGGGUGAGUAACGCGUGGGGAAUCUGCCUUUGAGCGGGGGACAACAUUUGGAAACGAAUGCUAAUACCGCAUAAAAACUUUAAACACAAGUUUUAAGUUUGAAAGAUGCAAUUGCAUCACUCAAAGAUGAUCCCGCGUUGUAUUAGCUAGUUGGUGAGGUAAAGGCUCACCAAGGCGAUGAUACAUAGCCGACCUGAGAGGGUGAUCGGCCACGUUGGGACUGAGACACGGCCCAAACUCCUACGGGAGGCAGCAGUAGGGAAUCUUCGGCAAUGGACGAAAGUCUGACCGAGCAACGCCGCGCGAGUGAAGAAGGUUUUCGGAUCGUAAAACUCUGUUGGUAGAGAAGAACGUUGGUGAGAGUGGAAAGCUCAUCAAGUGACGGUAACUACCCAGAAAGGGACGGCUAACUACGUG